AAUCAAUCACAUGCAAAUCAAUAUUUUACAACAAUCAAUCCACUUGGAAAUUUCCUCACAAGCUCUUCUUCAUCCCUGAAGUGCGCAGCAACCAUAGUGAUUCCAGCAAACAAGCAAAUUCAGAAUCAGGCAGCAACCAUUUCACAUCCUAAAUACCUAAAGGCUUUGAGCAUCAGGAGGAUUAGCACUGCUAUUCCGAUUCAGAGAUAAGGUUAAACGACAGGCUUUGCCUAGACAGGUUAAUGGCUGGUGAUGACGGGGCAGAGCUGAGGCUAGAGUUCAACUCCUUAUCUUGAUUUCCGCUGCAGAAUUAGCCAGUAUCUGUCUUUUGUUUCUUAACUUAAGACCUAUCAUGUUGCGAUUCUAAACAAUAUCUUGUGUUGAGCCUAAACUAUUGACUCUCAAAGUAUUUCAAUCAGUGAAUGUUGGUUAUCUGAAGCAUGACACUAAACUUGUGAUCUUGAAGUUGUUAUGUUUGUUGAUUGAUUCGUAUCACUUGAAUACCUGUCUUUCUUCAUCCAAAGGGGCUAAGCCCGAUUGUUAUCCCUUUUAUUCAGAUUUCACAAGGAUUUUCCCUUGUUCAUUUAGAUGAUUAGUCGUACCCCAGUUAUA